rnacentral:rRNA from 1 species
AGUCGAACGGGAUCCUAUUACUUCGGUUUUAGGUGAGAGUGGCGAACGGGUGAGUAACGCGUUGGUGACCUGCCUUAGAGAGGGGGACAACCAUUGGAAACGAUGGCUAAUACCCUGGAUGUCUUCGUUUUUAGUAAGCGAUGACUAAAGCUCCGGCGCUCUAAGAGGGGCCAGCGUCCCAUCAGCUUGUUGGUGAGGUAACGGCUCACCAAGGCUCAGACGGGUAGGGGGCGUGAGAGCUUGACCCCCCACACUGGUACUGAAACACGGACCAGAUACCUACGGGUAGCAGCAGCAAGGAAUAUUGCGCAAUGGGCGAAAGCCUGACGCAGCAACACCGCGUGGAGGAUGAAGGUUUUCGGAUCGUAAACUCCUUUUCUGGGGGAAGAGAAAGGACGGUACCCCAGGAAUAAGGCCCGGCUAACUACGUGCCAGCAGCCGCGGUAAAACGUAGGGGCCAAGCGUUAUCCGGAUUUAUUGGGCGUAAAGCGCAUGCAGGCGGCUUUUUAAGUCAGACGUGAAAGCUCCCGGCUCAACUGGGAGAGGUCGUUUGAAACUGGAAGGCUUGAGGAUGGUAGAGGUGAGUGGAAUUCCCGGUGUAGUGGUGAAAUGCGUAGAUAUCGGGAGGAACACCAGUGGCGAAGGCGGCUCACUGGGCCAUUCCUGACGCUCAGAUGCGAAACUUAGGGGAGAGAACGGGAUUAGAAACCCCGGUAUUCCUAGCCGUAAAUGAUGUCAACUAGGUGUGGAGGGUACCCAAUCCCUCUGUGCUGUAGCUAACGCGUUAAGUUGACCGCCUGGGGACUACGGCCGCAAGGCUAAAACUCAAAGGAAUUGACGGGGCCCCGCACAAGCAGCGGAGCGUGUGGUUUAAUUCGAGGCUACGCGAAGAACCUUACCAGGGCUUGACAUAUUUGUAGUAGGGAUCCGAAUGGUGACCGACCCUUCGGGGAGCAUUUACAGGUUCUGCAUGGCUGCCGUCA